rnacentral:rRNA from 1 species
ACAGCAGUAGCCGCGGUAAUACCGAGGGUGCGAGCGUUAAUCGGAUUUACUGGGCGUAAAGCGUGCGUAGGCGGCUUCUUAAGUCGGAUGUGAAAUCCCUGAGCUUAACUUAGGAAUUGCAUUCGAUACUGGGAAGCUAGAGUAUGGGAGAGGAUGGUAGAAUUCCAGGUGUAGCGGUGAAAUGCGUAGAGAUCUGGAGGAAUACCGAUGGCGAAGGCAGCCAUCUGGCCUAAUACUGACGCUGAGGUACGAAAGCAUGGGGAGCAAACAGGAUUAGAUACCCCCGUAGUCCCUGUCUCUUAUAC